rnacentral:lncRNA from 1 species
ACAUCACCAUACCUGGCCCCUCCUUGCUUAUAUCAGAAAAUCUACUGAGAUACAGAGUAUUUUGUAGGGCCCAGUGAUCAUAUUUCAGGAUUGUUUUUCUUCAUUCGUCCCAUACUUACUUGUAUCUCCAGUACAGUAAGUCCCCAACAUACGAAUGAAUUCUGUUCUGGGAGAAUUAUUUGUAAGUCGGACUUGUUUGUAGGCUGACAAACUGAGUCUUAGACAUUACACCUGUGAAAGUUCACAGCUCGAAGGUUCGUAAGUCAGGGACUUACUGUAUCCACCACCCCCACUUUGUGGUGCUAGGGAUUAAAUCCAGGGCCUUCACCCUGAGGUAUAUUCCCAGCCCUUUUUUAUUUUUAGACAGCCUUGCUGAGGCAGGAGGAUCCAGGUUCAAGCCCAGCCUGGGCAAUGUGUUGACUUAGCAAGAAAGACCUUGUCUCACAAUUUAAAAAAAAAAAUUUCAAGAAGAGAGGUUGGGGGGAUUUAGCUUAGUGGUUCCGCCGCCUGCCUUGCAAGCGGAAGGACCCAAGUUCGAUCCCUGGUACCAAAAAAAAAGAAGGGCCAGGAAUGUAUUCUAGCGUAAAGUCCCUGGGUUCAAUGCCCAGUAAAAGAAAAAAGAAAAAAAAAAAAGAGAAAUUGAGAGAAAGAAAAACCUUUGCAUUGAUAUCUAGCCCCGUCAAAGCAAUCUAUAAAAUACUUGCCAUCUGGAAGAAGUUUGACUAAUUCUAAUUUUGAAAUAUAAAACCACAGUUUAACAAGAGCCCUAGUUUGCUGCCACCUCCGCAAUGUCCUUGUCCUUGUUUUCAAGGGAGACCUCUCUGGCUGGUGAGAUAAAAGUAUAUGUAUAUUUUUAUUUAUAUUUCUUUCUAGGUACUUAAACCCUCCCCAGUACUGUAUUAGAAGGGUGUCAUGAACUUGUUCAGCCCUGUACAGAUUAGAAGCUUGUUGCUGGCUGCAGCCUAUGGCCAUCAUUGAUUCUACUCACUGGGGCUCCCAAAACUGCUGAUGCCAUAGUGAUACCAGAGCGCCACCUGUACCACGUGACCUCAGUUAACAGGAAGCAGGAGGCUGUGCUAACAGGUUUUUCCAGGAGUGGGUGGUCAUGAAUAGAACCCUAUUAAAUGGGAAGGCCAUUUAAUAGACCCCUUUGUGCCUCAAAAGCUUUAAUGUGUUACCUAAGAAGCUAACAGAAGUGCCUAGGUAAGGAAAGUUUCCCAAAAUGCAAAGGAAAAUCCAAUUUCACUUAUUUGAUUGUGGUUUUAAUUGGAACAUUAGGAUGUGGGUUAAAUUACUUGAGGGUCAGCUAAGAAGAUCAUUGCAAUCUAGUGAAG